CCUACGGGUGGCAGCAGUGAGGAAUAUUGGUCAAUGGACGAGAGUCUGAACCAGCCAAGUAGCGUGAAGGAUGACUGCCCUAUGGGUUGUAAACUUCUUUUAUAUGGGAAUAAAACGUUCCACGUGUGGGAUUUUGUAUGUACCAUAUGAAUAAGGAUCGGCUAACUCCGUGCCAGCAGCCGCGGUAAUACGGAGGAUCCGAGCGUUAUCCGGAUUUAUUGGGUUUAAAGGGAGCGUAGGUGGAUUGUUAAGUCAGUUGUGAAAGUUUGGGGCUCAACCGUAAAAUUGCAGUUGAAACUGGCAGUCUUGAGUACAGUAGAGGUGGGCGGAAUUCGUGGUGUAGCGGUGAAAUGCUUAGAUAUCACGAAGAACUCCGAUUGCGAAGGCAGUUCACUGGACUGCAACUGACACUGAGGCUCGAAAGUGUGGGUAUCAAACAGGAUUAGAUACCCUAGUAGUC
rnacentral:rRNA from 1 species